rnacentral:lncRNA from 1 species
GGAGGACGCCCGGUAGCCGCCCCCACCGCCUCCGCCCCAGGCAAGGCCGGCCGGCGCCGCGGAAAGCAGCCUCGGGGAAGGAGGAGGAAGAGGGGCAGGUGUAGGGAGUGAAGAAGCAAAAAGAGGAGGAGGAAGAGGAGCUCAGGGCCGUCCCCGCGCAAUUAAUGGGCGGCUCCUGCGCCCUGGACCGGCCCGCCCGCCCAGCCCCUCGACCCCUGUAGCCCCGGCAGGGGAGGAAGGGCAGACCCACAGGUCAGGGAUUAGGAAUCAUGUUGCAUGACGCAAGGGACAGGCAGAAGUUCUUCAGCGAUGUUCAGUAUCUGCGGGACAUGCAGCAUAAGGUGGACUCUGAGUAUCAGGCUUGUCUGAGACGACAGGAAUAUAGAAGAGACCCAAAUGAGAAGAAACGCGAUCAGUUUUGGGGGCAAGAGACAAGUUUUGAGAGAUCCCGGUUUUCUAGCAGGUCAUCUUCCAAACAGAGUUCUAGUGAGGAGGAUGCUCUAACUGAACCAAGGUCAUCUAUCAAGAUAUCUGCAUUUAAGUGUGACUCCAAACUUCCAGCAAUUGACCAAACAUCAGUCAAGCAGAAACAUAAAAGUACCAUGACUGUAAGGAAAGCAGAGAAAGUGGACCCCAGCGAACCCUCUCCAGCAGACCAAGCACCAAUGGUUUUAUUAAGAAAGAGGAAGCCAAACCUGAGGAGAUUUACAGUCAGCCCAGAAUCGCACAGCCCGAGAGCAUCUGGGGACAGAAGCAGACAGAAACAGCAGUGGCCUGCAAAGGUGCCGGUUCCCAGGGGAGCAGAUCAAGUAGUUCAACAAGAAGGCCUGAUGUGUAACACUAAGCUGAAGAGGCCAAAUCAAGAGAGAAGAAACUUGGUCCCAUCGUCACAGCCAAUGACUGAGAACGCCCCUGAUAGAGCCAAAAAAGGAGACCCGAGUGCUCCUUCCCAGAGUGAGCUGCAUCCAGCCCUGUCCCAGGCCUUCCAAGGAAAAAAUAGUCCUCAAGUAUUGAGUGAGUUCUCGGGGCCACCACUCACACCCACCACUGUAGGAGGGCCAAGAAAGGCAUCAUUUAGGUUCCGAGAUGAAGACUUUUAUUCCAUUUUGUCAUUGAACAGCAGAAGAGAAAGCGAUGACACUGAAGAGGAAACCCAGUCUGAAGAAUGUCUGUGGGUUGGUGUGCGCUCACCCUGUUCUCCUUCCCAUCACAAAAG